UACGUAGGGUGCGAGCGUUGUCCGGAAUUAUUGGGCGUAAAGGGCUCGUAGGCGGUUUGUCGCGUCGGGAGUGAAAGUCCGGGGCUCAACUCCGGAUCUGCGGUGGGUACGGGCAGACUAGAGUGAUGUAGGGGAGACUGGAAUUCCUGGUGUAGCGGUGAAAUGCGCAGAUAUCAGGAGGAACACCGAUGGCGAAGGCAGCUCGCUGGGACGGUACUGACGCUGAGACGCGAAAGCGUGGGGAGCGAACAGG
rnacentral:rRNA from 1 species